rnacentral:snRNA from 1 species
AGACCUGAGACAUCUGUCACUCCACUGAUCUCAGGGUUGGUUUGGUUGAUCUCGCUGGCUAGGCAGGUGUCCCUGUCCUCUAUGUGUGUCCCUCUUAAAGCGACUCACUCGGUCAAAGAGGAGCAGCUGUGCUCCCUGCUAGACCCUCCACACAAGCUCUCAGGAGUGGGNACCAGACAGCCAGCUCAUCAGCUAAGAGUGCUUGCNGUGCAUGGUGAGAUNGCUCAGUAG